rnacentral:rRNA from 1 species
AUUGAACGCUGGCGGCAGGCCUAACACAUGCAAGUCGAGCGGAUGAAGGGAGCUUGCUCCUGGAUUCAGCGGCGGACGGGUGAGUAAUGCCUAGGAAUCUGCCUGGUAGUGGGGGAUAACGUCCGGAAACGGGCGCUAAUACCGCAUACGUCCUGAGGGAGAAAGUGGGGGAUCUUCGGACCUCACGCUAUCAGAUGAGCCUAGGUCGGAUUAGCUAGUUGGUGGGGUAAAGGCCUACCAAGGCAACGAUCCGUAACUGGUCUGAGAGGAUGAUCAGUCACACUGGAACUGAGACACGGUCCAGACUCCUACGGGAGGCAGCAGUGGGGAAUAUUGGACAAUGGGCGAAAGCCUGAUCCAGCCAUGCCGCGUGUGUGAAGAAGGUCUUCGGAUUGUAAAGCACUUUAAGUUGGGAGGAAGGGCAGUAAAUUAAUACCUUGCUGUUUUGACGUUACCAACAGAAAAAGCACCGGCUAACUUCGUG